rnacentral:lncRNA from 1 species
CAAAGAACUUUUUGUGUGCCAUGACACUGGUGUAAAAAUUUGAGUGUUUUUUUAUGUAAGUCAUCCACAUCUGCAAAACCUCAGGAAACAUCCUGCAGCUCUUCCACCAGCAGUAAUUUCUCUCCCACUUUGACCAGCUGGCUCAUAACACCCACUGAUGGCAUCAUGGAAAACCUGGUGUACAGCUGCAUGACUUGCAGCCACAAACAGAGAAGAGUGGGGUUUGUGAGCUGGUUCACCACAGACUGAUGCAGUGGUAAGUAAGAAAUGCCAUUAUUUUCUUCUCCAGCAGUUCCCACAUUAUUCCC